UGGGGAAUAUUGCACAAUGGGGGAAACCCUGAUGCAGCGAUGCCGCGUGGAGGAAGAAGGUUUUCGGAUUGUAAACUCCUGUCUUUAGGGACGAUAAUGACGGUACCUAAGGAGGAAGCUCCGGCUAACUACGUGCCAGCAGCCGCGGUAAUACGUAGGGAGCAAGCGUUGUCCGGAAUUACUGGGUGUAAAGGGAGUGUAGGCGGGACGGCAAGUCAGAUGUGAAAUCUAUGGGCUCAACCCAUAGCGUGCAUUUGAAACUGUUGUUCUUGAGUGAAGUAGAGGUAGACGGAAUUCCUAGUGUAGCGGUGAAAUGCGUAGAUAUUAGGAGGAACAUCAGUGGCGAAGGCGGUCUACUGGGCUUUUACUGACGCUGAGGCUCGAAAGCGUGGGGAGCAAACAGG
rnacentral:rRNA from 1 species